AUGAAUAUUUAAAUUUGGGAGAAUUUGGAGUUUAAAAAUUCAAUAUACAUCAGAAAUCGAAAUUAUAAGCAAUUUCUUAAAACAUGAAUUUAUAAAAAUAUUUCCAGACGGUCAAGCUUUUAAUAUUGCUUUCUCUUAUGUGUGGAGGCGCAAUGGCCCAGUGGUUAGGGCAGCGGACUCGCG